rnacentral:rRNA from 1 species
CAGCACCUCAAGUGGUCAGGAUGAUUAUUUGGCCUAAAGCAUCCGUAGCCGGCUCUGUAAGUUUUCGGUUAAAUCUGUACGCUCAACGUACAGGCUGCCGGGAAUACUGCAGCGCUAGGGAGUGGGAGAGGUAGACGGUACUCGGUAGGAAGGGGUAAAAUCCUUUGAUCUAUUGAUGACCACCUGUGGCGAAGGCGGUCUACCAGAACACGUCCGACGGUGAGGGAUGAAAGCUGGGGGAGCAAAACGGAUUAGAUACCCGAGUAGUCC